rnacentral:rRNA from 1 species
AACGGCCGCCAUUGUGCUGGAAUUCGCCCUUGAGUUUGAUCCUGGCUCAGAUUGAACGCUGGCGGCAGGCCUAACACAUGCAAGUCGAGCGGAAACGAGUUAACUGACCCUUCGGGUGACGUUAACGGCGUCGAGCGGCGGACGGGUGAGUAAUGCCUGGGAAAUUGCCCUGAUGUGGGGGAUAACCAUUGGAAACGAUGGCUAAUACCGCAUAAUAGCUUCGGCUCAAAGAGGGGGACCUUCGGGCCUCUCGCGUCAGGAUAUGCCCAGGUGGGAUUAGCUAGUUGGUAAGGUAAUGGCUUACCAAGGCGACGAUCCCUAGCUGGUCUGAGAGGAUGAUCAGCCACACUGGAACUGAGACACGGUCCAGACUCCUACGGGAGGCAGCAGUGGGGAAUAUUGCACAAUGGGCGCAAGCCUGAUGCAGCCAUGCCGCGUGUGUGAAGAAGGCCUUCGGGUUGUAAAGCACUUUCAGUCGUGAGGAAGGUAGUGUAGUUAAUAGCUGCAUUGCUUGACGUUAGCGACAGAAGAAGCACCGGCUAACUCCGUGCCAGCAGCCGCGGUAAUACGGAGGGUGCGAGCGUUAAUCGGAAUUACUGGGCGUAAAGCGCAUGCAGGUGGUUCGUUAAGUCAGAUGUGAAAGGGCGGGGCUCAACCUCGGAACAGCAUUUGAAACUGGCGGACUAGAGUACUGUAGAGGGGGGUAGAAUUUCAGGUGUAGCGGUGAAAUGCGUACAGAUCUGAAGGAAUACCGGUGGCGAAGGCGGCCCCCUGGACAGAUACUGACACUCAAAUGCGAAAGCGUGGGGAGCAAACAGGAUUAAAUACCCUGGUUAGUCCACGCCGUAAACGAUGUCUACUUGGA